rnacentral:rRNA from 1 species
UACGUAGGGUGCAAGCGUUGUCCGGAAUUAUUGGGCGUAAAGAGCUUGUAGGCGGUUAGUCGCGUCUGCUGUGAAAUUUCGGGGCUCAACCUCGAACUUGCAGUGGGUACGGGCAGACUAGAGUGUGGUAGGGGAGACUGGAAUUCCUGGUGUAGCAGUGAAAUGCGUAGAUAUCAGGAGGAAUACCGAUGGCGAAGGCAGGUCUCUGGGCUGACACUGACGCUCAUGCGCGAAAGCGUGGGGAGCAAACAGG